rnacentral:rRNA from 1 species
UACGUAGGGUGCAAGCGUUAAUCGGAAUUACUGGGCGUAAAGCGUGCGCAGGCGGUUUUGUAAGUCUGACGUGAAAUCCCCGGGCUCAACCUGGGAAUUGCGUUGGAGACUGCAAGGCUGGAGUCUGGCAGAGGGGGGUAGAAUUCCACGUGUAGCAGUGAAAUGCGUAGAGAUGUGGAGGAACACCGAUGGCGAAGGCAGCCCCCUGGGUCAAGACUGACGCUCAUGCACGAAAGCGU